rnacentral:rRNA from 1 species
GACGUAGGGCGCGAGCGUUGUCCGGAUUUACUGGGCGUAAAGCGUGCGCAGGCGGUUGUGCAAGACAGAUGUGAAAUCCCCGGGCUCAACCUGGGAACUGCAUUUGUGACUGCACGGCUAGAGUGUGUCAGAGGGGGGUAGAAUUCCACGUGUAGCAGUGAAAUGCGUAGAUAUGUGGAGGAAUACCGAUGGCGAAGGCAGCCCCCUGGGAUAACACUGACGCUCAUGCACGAAAGCGUGGGGAGCAAACAGG